rnacentral:rRNA from 1 species
CGAUCAGGUAGAUAGGCUAGAAGUGGAAGUGCAGUGAUGUAUGGAGCGGACUAGUACUAAUCGGUCGAGGACUUAACCAC